UCCUCUUCAACUUUGUCAACUCCUACGUCAUGAUCCUUCACCAAAUUUGGAGGUUGAAUAACGAACGAAGUAUCUUGUGCCUCCUUAACUUUGACAACGGGUGGAACAUCUUCGGUUUUUCUAGAAACACUAUUUCGCUCAUAAUAUUCCGCCCUCCAUGCUGACUCUUGAGCCUCUUCAAGGGUGUAGAAUAUACGCCACCCCAUCCUAAGACGUAUUGAAAUAUUCAAACCUGCCAAGUACCGUGAAAUUUCCG
rnacentral:lncRNA from 1 species